GUGGUUGUAGAGUAGCGGUUAUCUCACUCGUCUGUGAAACGAGGGAACGUAGGGUUCAAAUCCCACCAAUCACC
rnacentral:tRNA from 1 species